CGCCGGGUGAUGAUGGGGCCCAGAGAUGCGUCCAGAGAGAGGGGCGGGGCUGGAACGCAGGCCUGGGAAGGGCCACAAGUUGGAAAGAGAAGGCCGGAAAGGAAAGAAUUGCUGUGUGGACAGGGCUCCUUAAGCAGCGCUGCUAAGCCUCGAGGCUGCCCAGGGAAGUGCACGGGGCCUCAGAACAUCUCGGAGCAAAUUCAGCAUUUCCGGAAGGGCUUAUAAUCCAGUGGUCUCUUCCUGGGUGGAGGCUUUAGCCCGUCAUCAGGCAGCCAGGACUCAGACUGCAAGCAGCCUCUGCAGGGGAAAAAAAGAAAGGUGAAGUACUUCAGUGCUGUGACCUUCUUGGAUACUUUCACUGGAACUAGCACCCUACAGCCCCAGCUCCAAGAGAGGGAGGUCUGCACUGCUGAGCUCCAUCCCCAUCCAGAUCAUUCACCAACUGGAUAACCUACCCUGUGGUAAAACUAACCACCAGACUUGCCCCUCAAUGUUUACAGCUGGAUUAGAGAUCAGAAUGCGAACGAAUUUUUUUUUUGAGUUUAUUGGUACAAUCUAUACAAUACAGUUACAUUCA